CACGUAGGGGGCGAGCGUUGUUCGGAAUCAUUGGGCGUAAAGGGCGUGCAGGCGGUCGUGCAAGUCCGGCGUGAAAGACCCCGGCCCAACCGGGGGGACGCGCUGGAAACUGCAGGGCUUGAGUACAGGAGGGGAUGCCGGAAUUCCAGGUGUAGGGGUGAAAUCUGUAGAUAUCUGGAAGAACACCAAUGGCGAAGGCAGGCAUCUGGCCAUGUACUGACGCUGAGACGCGAAGGUGCGGGGAGCAAACAGGUUUAGAUACCCUGGUAGUCCGCACAGUAAACGAUGUGCACCAGGUGGCGGGGGGUCGACCCCCGGUACCGUAGCUAACGCAUUAAGUGCACCGCCUGGGGAGUAUGCUCGCAAGGGUGAA
rnacentral:rRNA from 1 species